rnacentral:lncRNA from 1 species
GGGCGGUCUGCGUGCGAGCAGGCGCGCGUGGGCGUGUCUCCCUGGCCCACGCGUGUCCCGGACAUCAGUGUCUCGGCUCUGGUCCAGGACGAAGACUUCUGAAAGCGAGCCAAGGAGAAUCACAGUUCGGAACGGAGCCCCUGACUGCCUGGUGGAAGGAGGUGAUUCAGAAGAGAGCGAGGAAGCAACAUGGCCAAGUGAAGCUGCAGCCAGAAGAUACUAAGGCCUGACAGUGAUGGACAUAAAUGAUUACUGUUUUUAGAUUCAGUGGAUGUGCCCGGGCUUCCCGAGAUGUGUUUGCAUCUGGAUGCCGAGGAUGCUGUGCACACAAGCUCUCGGGUGAUGCGGCCAUGGAGCUUGGAGGUGGCUGUCUGUGGACUAGAGUGUUCCCCAGUCACUGCAAAGGAGAAAAAAAGAUGACAGACGUCCACAUGUACUUUUUAGUUCUCUAUAUUACAGCCUUCCAACAGAACGUUUCUUCCUGACAAAUGUGUCAGUGCAGUUCAGAUCCUAGAAGAAUGUUGCCUCUCCUGGCAGGACCUUCCCUGUGUGUGGGACAUGAGGUUUGUGUAAGAAGCUCGGCAUCCCUCCUCCCUCGGGGUAGCUAACCGGCUUCCUUGCCGGGGAAAUUUGUCCCUGUAGGACGCUUGGCCACAUGGUAGAG